rnacentral:rRNA from 1 species
CGGCACGGGUGAGUAACACGUAUCCAACCUGCCGUCUACUCUUGGCCAGCCUUCUGAAAGGAAGAUUAAUCCAGGAUGGCAUCAUGAGUUCACAUGUCCGCAUGAUUAAAGGUAUUUUCCGGUAGACGAUGGGGAUGCGUUCCAUUAGAUAGUAGGCGGGGUAACGGCCCACCUAGUCAACGAUGAAUAGGGGUUCUGAGAGGAAGGUCCCCCACAUUGGAACUGAGACACGGUCCAA